rnacentral:rRNA from 1 species
UACGUAGGGUGCAAGCGUUAUCCGGAAUUAUUGGGCGUAAAGAGCUCGUAGGCGGUUUGUCGCGUCUGCUGUGAAAACCCGAGGCUCAACCUCGGGCCUGCGGUGGGUACGGGCAGACUAGAGUGAUGUAGGGGAGACUGGAAUUCCUGGUGUAGCGGUGAAAUGCGCAGAUAUCAGGAGGAACACCGGUGGCGAAGGCGGGUCUCUGGGCCGAUACUGACACUGAGGAGCGAAAGCGUGGGGAGCGAACAGG